GUUCAUCUUUCUUAGCUUUUAAUGCAAACAGUUUUUAUUUAGGACCAUGGACGCUUAUCAGACAAGUUCCAGCGUGCACUGGUCCAUCCACAAGAAGCACCCAGUAAACAGCAGUUACUGUUUUUACAGAUCAAGGGUGUAAAACAUAAAGGUGAAGAGUCUGGGAGCCCCGCUCGCAAGGAGUACAGUCUGGCUGUGAAGACACAAUCACAAAAAUGUAACGAGUCCUUUCCAUUUGUGCAAAGGUGUGUGUCUCUGGUAUUCCCAGUUCAGUCUGAGCAGACGUGUACCAACAAAGCCUGUUGCCUCCCCUGCCCAGGCCAGAGAAGCCCAAUGAAGCAGAGGGACCCAAAAUGAAUGAGUUUUCACAAGGGCAUCUGCUGGGCAGAAGAGGGGUGCUUUCCUCAAGCAGAUCGGGGCUCCCAUUUCUCCAGGUGAAGACCAAGACCGAAGUUCAACCAUGAAGGUGUUGCUGAGUGCCUUUAUGGUAACCUGUGGUGGGGCCCACGAGAAUAACUGGGGGUAAUUUGAGGGUGAAUUUAGGACCUGGGUCAGCAGGUUGUUAACAAACUAUUAAAACUCGGGUAUUUUUGGUAAUUAUUUUGUAUCAGAGGCUGGGAAGGCCAUGGCCAUUUCUGUUCUAAGAACACAGAAAAGUGUCAGGAAUCUGUGAGAGGGGCAAGGGGGAGGUUAGAUGGGGGCAGGGAAAUCUACAGUAAGGAGGACAUUGUGACCUGAGCUUUGAAGGAAGAAUUGGUUAGGCUGACACAGGCCAGUGAGCGUUUCAGACAGAGAGCAUUGUUUUUUGAACUUCUCCCCAGCACCUUCUGAUCUUUUUCUCAACUUCCAGUGUUAACCCAAUGCUGUGUCGUACCUUCUACAUACACAGAGCAGCACAGUGCAACUUUGGGGUUUCUCGCCGAUCCAGUCUUCUCAAGGGCAUGCCCCAUAAGUCCAAUGUUGACUUCUGAACCCAUGAUUUCCUAUCUGGUCCCAGAUGGGGCUUGGGAUUAGCCUCAAAUGCUAGAACAGGAAGCCUUCUCUGUCCUCGUCUAUACUCACAUUACAUAUUUAUAUAUGCACAUACAAGGGAGAGUUAUUCCUUUUUUUAAAGACUUUUUUUUUUAAAGCAAUCUCUACACCCAACAUGGAGCUCGAACUUACAACCUGGAGAUCAAGAGUUGCAGGCCCCACCGACUGAGCCAGCCAGGCACCCCAAGG
rnacentral:lncRNA from 12 species